CAGAAUAUUCAAUUGGCCCAGGCCUACACAUACAUUCAUUGUGGAAAAAAAAAAACAUUUAAAAAAGUGUGUAAAUAUGACUGAAAAUGACAAAAAAUACACGCUAAAAUCUCUCAGCUUCAUUGCAAACAGGGAGCUAUCUGGGCAGAAAUGUUCUAUGACAAGAUGUUUUGGAGUCCCCCCUCCCCCCCGUUUUUUUCCUUUUUUGUUCUUUUGUUUAAACAUUUAAUAAAGUGAUUUCAUUUCAGUGGAGAAGUGACUCACAAGAGACUACCUAUCGUGACUGUCAUUCCAACCUUUCCCAAAGAUGUACAGAUGAAACUGGAUGCAAGAGAACCAUGUCACAGAGUCCCCAAACUCCGCAACAAAAUUAUCAGAGUGCUGUAUGAAAUGAUGGCAGAAUACACCCUGUAUCCAACCAAUACAGAGUACACUCAAGUUGCCAAGGCUCUGAUCAUGAAAUACCCUUUCCUGAGAGACAGGGAGGGAAAUGGCUAUGUAAGCCAUGGAUUUUGUUUACUUGUUCUUUAUUAGCACAGUUGGCCUACUAAUUGUGUGUGAUUUUUUUCCUAGCACACCUGGCACGUCUUUGAAGCGAAAAUUUAAAGCGGAACGUGCACCACUUGUCAGUGACACUGAAGUUAGAAAGCUGAAGGAGAAGUUUGGCCAUGCAAAGCAGUCCAAGGUUACCAACAUCUCUUCAAAUGUCUCUCGUAAGCCGUCAAGUCAGUCAUUUGUAAGUGCACAUGUAUUAUUCAUAUUUAACAUUUUAACUUGUUGUAUAAAUAAUCCGAGUGGAAUACAUUUGAGAAGUUUCAAAUGCAAAACAAGAAGUCUUUACUGGUCACUGUCUGAGCACUGUUUUUUUUUUUUAUGCCAAAGGAAAUUUGUGUUGGGGAGGAUUCUGUGCUGCCUUUCAUAAUGGGACACCGUGUUCCUCCUGGUAGCAGAUACUGGCAUGUGUUCUUGCUAUGUAGAGAUAUUGCAGACAUUGUUUUGGCAGAUAAAGUGAGGAAAGACGAACUAGCCUAUCUAGAAUUGCUUGUACACGCAUUCCUUUCUGAGAUGAAAGAGGUUUUUGGAACUGUGUUAACACCUAAAUGUCAUUACCUUGUACAUUAUACAAGACUUAUGUCAAUGUAUGGUCCUCUUCAUUCUCUGUGGUGCAUGCGUUUCGAAGGAAAACAUCAGUAUUUUAAGAGACUGACUAAUAACUGUCGAAAUUUCAGAAACAUAACCGUGACACUUAGCACUCGCCACCAGCUAAAACAGUGUUGGGAAUUUUCACCAAGUAAUAUCUUAGGGGAUUUUGAAAAGGUGCCUGGAAAGAAGCGUCAGCACACCAAUAUUGUCUCUACCCAUUUGUCUUCAAACUGCACUACAAGAAAGUUGCAACUUCAGCAAUGUGGAAGGGAAAGUAAUUCAGCGUGUAUCUGAAGUGACUGUAGGCAAUAUCAAGUAUGCUAUUAGAGAUGUAUUGACAUUAGACUUUGUACAUGAGGAAAAGAUUCCAGUGUUCGGACAGAUUAAAUACAUUCUUAACAUUGACACUAUGUGGUUUCUUUGCUGUAAAAUUUUGCAUCCAAUGUCUUUUGACUUGCAUUUUCACGCAUAUCGUGUAAAAGUAGACAGUGAGUGGAUUUUGCUUAAACCUGGAGAUGAAAAAGACCAUACAUCACUUGACACGUACACUAUUGAUGACAAGUUGUAUGUUGGAUUUAGAUGUUCUGUAUAAAUACUUGUGCAAGUUUUGCAAGGCUUUAUGAAUGGAUUACUAGAGACAAACUCUGUCUGUCUUCAACAUUCUAGUUGUAACUCAUCUUUUGUCUUCUGUUCAGUUUUAUAUAACUUUUGGGUUGAAGACAAAUGUUUAAGAAUAUUGCCUAAAUGUAAUGCACUGCAAAUGAAAUGAACUGAUGGUUAAAUUUUGAUCAAUAAAUGUAUUUUGUACA